UACGUAGGGGGCAAGCGUUGUCCGGAAUCAUUGGGCGUAAAGCGCGUGUAGGCGGUUACGUAAGUCUGCUGUGAAAGUCGGAGGCUCAACCUUCGAAAGCCGGUGGAUACUGCGUGACUAGAGUACGGAAGAGGAGAGUGGAAUUCCUGGUGUAGCGGUGAAAUGCGCAGAUAUCAGGAGGAACACCAACGGCGAAGGCAGAUCUCUGGGCCGUAACUGACGCUGAGGAGCGAAAGCAUGGGGAGCGAACAGG
rnacentral:rRNA from 1 species